rnacentral:lncRNA from 1 species
CUUCUUGAGUGCUUAUCAAGAGCUUGGCACUGCUUGGAAGAGUUUUACAUGCAUUACUUCAUGGAGGAGCUUCUGAAGUAGAUAGAGGACAAGAAGGACAAUCACAGAAGACUCCCACAUCACCAGCCUCUGUUACACUUCUGUCCUGAAGAAGUAAAGGCAGCAGAGAUGCCAAUCAGCAGCAGGUAUCAUCCCAAGGCCCAGCAGAGGUGACAGACGUAGGGCUUCCCACCGCAGCAGGGAGAAGCACAGCAGAAGCAGGCAAGCAGAAGGCGGCGGCACGGACUUCAUCGCUCUUUAAAGAUAAUCAUCAAUUGCAGAGCCCUUCCUCCUGUAGAGAGGAAAGAUGCCUUAUUGCUGGGAAAGAGGCUAAGUAAUAAAAUCCUAAGGGAGGAGGAAGAUGAGGCUGCAGAGGAAUCAUGGAGGCAAAAGGACUUUGCUAGCUCCACAGUGGCCUCAGCCAGAGAGAAUGGAGCCAGGGCAAAUAGAGGUGGCAGAGGUUCCAGACCUGGUCACCUCUGGUCCCAGGGAAGCAGCAUGCACAGGGA